GUGUGAGUGCAGGGAGGCACGGGGCAUGCUUUGGGGCUGGCGGAAACCGAGCGGUAGCUACGGGGCUGCAGAGAACUGUCGACACGCAUCCAGUCAUACACAGAGUCAACAGAGAAGUCUGGAAGGAUCCCCCUAAGGACGGUUCCUGUCGUGCAACUGUAGUUUCCCCUACACGGAGCCAAAAUCUGCAUCCCUCCGUCUUUCACCCACUGACAUGGAGAAGGACUCGUCUGACAAAACAAGCUCUUCAACCAUCUGGAGGAUUCCAAAGUGCUGCAAUGUUUGGAUCCUGGCUCCGAUGUGGAUUGCCACCCCUUCAGGCCGAGCCCUGAUCAAUCGUGGAUCUGGACAGAGCCUCUGAGGGCUCAGCCUUGGAGGCCUGCUCGGGGCCCUCUCCAAAUUAAUGCUGAAUCCUUGCUCUGUACAUGUUGGGGUAAUUAUUCUGUCACCUGUGAGUUCAGAUAAUUUUGUCCUCAGCCAGCCCUUUCUUCAACCAUCCUGCAGAGCUAUCCUGAUAGUAUGUAUCAAAUAUUUGCCCAAAGCAGGACCACUUAUGCCUGAAAAGCUCUCUGAUCAACCAAUCUGCAGAUAUCUUUAAGCAAAGAAACAUGGCCAACUCUGAGUGAUUAUUCUUUUUUUAAUGCCCAGAAAAUCUCCUUAUGCCUCUCAUCUUGAUUUCCUUUUUGUUGGCCAGUUCUCAGGCUCUCAGAGCCCUCUGACCUUCCAGUCCCCCACCCCCUCAGCCGCACCC